rnacentral:rRNA from 1 species
GCAUAUCAAUAAGCGGAGGAAAAGAAACCAACAGGGAUUGCCUCAGUAACGGCGAGUGAAGCGGCAAGAGCUCAAAUUUGAAAGCUGGCCCCUUCGGGGUCCGCGUUGUAAUUUGCAGAGGAUGCUUCGGGUGCAGCCCCCGUCUAAGUGCCCUGGAACGGGCCGUCAUAGAGGGUGAGAAUCCCGUCUGGGACGGGGUGUCUGCGUCCGUGUGAAGCUCCUUCGACGAGUCGAGUUGUUUGGGAAUGCAGCUCUAAAUGGGUGGUAAAUUUCAUCUAAAGCUAAAUACUGGCCGGAGACCGAUAGCGCACAAGUAGAGUGAUCGAAAGAUGAAAAGCACUUUGAAAAGAGAGUUAAACAGCACGUGAAAUUGUUGAAAGGGAAGCGUUUGCGACCAGACUCGCCCGCGGGGUUCAGCCGGCAUUCGUGCCGGUGUACUUCCCCGUGGGCGGGCCAGCGUCGGUUUGGGCGGCCGGUCAAAGGCCCUCGGAAUGUAUCACCUCUCGGGGUGUCUUAUAGCCGAGGGUGCAAUGCGGCCUGCCUGGACCGAGGAACGCGCUUCGGCUCGGACGCUGGCGUAAUGGUCGUAAAUGACCCGUCUUGAAACACGGACCAAGGAGUCUAACAUCUACGCGAGUGUUCGGGUGUCAAACCCGUACGCGCAGUGAAAGCGAACGGAGGUGGGAGCCCCCUCGCGGGGCGCACCAUCGACCGAUCCUGAUGUCUUCGGAUGGAUUUGAGUACGAGCGUAGCUGUGGGGACCCGAAAGAUGGUGAACUAUGCCUGAAUAGGGCGAAGCCAGAGGAAACUCUGGUGGAGGCUCGCAGCGGUUCUGACGUGCAAAUCGAUCGUCAAAUUUGGGUAUAGGGGCGAAAGACUAAUCGAACCAUCUAGUAGCUUGGUUUCCUGCCGAA